rnacentral:lncRNA from 1 species
CACUAGGAAAAUGUUUUUCAAUGUUCUCUUCCAGGAAGCCAUUUUUGAGUCCAGAAGAUGCCUGAGAUGUCUUGCUUAUCUAGAGGUCUUGCUGCAGCUUCGGGGUCUGUAUCCGGGGUUGGUCACCUCCUAUCAGCAUUAUAGCAGGAGUCGUGCUUCCAGUGAAGCCACUUACCCAUCUAAAGGCAGAACGCAGCGCCACCUGUCGGUGAAAGAGGGUGACGGAUGUCUGACUCAAGAGGACCGGUGGAUCCAUCAUCACCCGUGAAGUGUCAGUCAUCCCCUGGGUGCAGGCCUGCCUUGGACGGGGUGGGGUGGGUAAGGGUGUGCAGGAGAACCCGGAGGCCCAGCUCUGCUUCCGGCUCAGAGAGGGCCGAGUUGGGAGGUUGAGCUGCCUACUUUGGUCCCUCGUCCUGGGCACCAGUGGCUCUCAGAAAAUAAACGGAAGUGGGACGUGUCAGAAGCGAAGGAUCUGGCUUGGCUUGAGGAACAUGGAGAGUCUCUGGCAAAGCAGCAUACCUGAGCAAGCACAUAAUUUUACAGAAGCUACUCACUGCAGUAUUGUUUGAAAUACAAAAGUUGAAAACGACCCCUGCAAGAGGAGCGGUAAAUAAAGUAUGUUGCCUCCAUAUAGAAGAACACUGUGUAGCUGUAAGAAAAUAAUAAAAAACCUUUUUAGGUACCCAUGUAGAAAAGUAUCCAAGGUACAUUAAGAGAGAAACAAAACAAGAGCAGAGACUAACAGUGUGUAUAAUAGGCCAUGUGCAUAUGUAUAUACAUAUAUAUGUAUUUAUAUAUACGUAUAUAUAAAGAGGGAAUAUAAAAUAAAUAUUCAUUUUGCUUGGCUAAGCCUAAGAAAACUCUGAAGCAUGCAUGGAAAAAUGUUAACACAGUGGUUGCUGGAGUGAAUGUGUGGAGACAGGAAUGGCAGGGAGACC